CCUGGGGAAAAAAAAACAAAAAAAAAAACUAUAGUAAUUAGCAAAUUUGCCAAUAAUGCUUCGAUUAUCUACUAUACUAUUAUUGUUGUUGUUGUUAAUCAAUUUGAAUUGAUUUCUUUAAUUGGUGUUUGACAAUACAUGAGACUAGUCAUGCACAAUACUCUAAAUAGUGUACUUUGAUACUAAGCCAAUGACAAAUGUAGAAAAUGGAAAUUCUACUAUGGAAAAUACAAAAAGCUAAUGAAUCAACUAUAGACUGGAAAAGACAUACUCGCCCAAACAUACGUGCAUAGACAUUAGCAUAUACAAACUUAUUUUCAUAGGGAAAGUGAUUAAGAUUAUGUAAGGUACCUCAGCUUGAUGGCAGUUAAGAUCCAGCCUAUCUACAACGAACUUUUGGAUGGAUGAAACUGGUACAUUUGCAUCCCUACGGUGGGAACAAAAGGAAAACAUAUCAAUAAUAACAAGAAUUUUGCUUGCCGCUAACUAAAACAGUUCUUCUGGUAAACAGAAGUCAAGACACGGUCAUGGAUUAGUUCUUCGACAGUUUGUUUUGUAACAAAAAUCUCAUUUCAAGUAUAGGGAAAAGUUCGACGGAAGGUUAGAUCAAAGAAGUCAGAGAGAAAACUUACAUGGAAUAAAGCACCCAAUAUGGGAUGCAUAAGCUUUUCUUAAUGCUAUCCGUAAAAGGGACUUCUUUCAAAUUCCACAAAAUACAAUUGGAUGAUCUAUUUUCACUUAAUGUGAACAUUCCAUGUGUUUUGGAUGCUAUUUGUAACACCCGCCUUUUUCCUUAGCUGUUAUUUUUAUGAUCAAUCUGAAUUAUGCUUCUAUCUGUGCUUUAUAUGCCUAUUUUUGUGCAUUGUGUUUGUUAACAGAUAUGUUCCUUUACCAAAAGACUUGUCUGAUUCGUUAAAUUGUAAAGUUAUAAGCUCACCUUAAAUUAAGGUAGGUAGUAAUGCAAUUAAUUAAUUAGGCAAGUUAAUUAAAGAGACUCUUAUUUAGUUAAUCUAAGUUAAAGAAUUGGGAUAUUUUAUAUAUAAAUAUAUUGAACUCAAAUAGAAGAGAGAGAGAGAGAGAGAGAGAGAGAGAGAUUACCUGAGAAAGAGAGAAAGAAUGAGUGCUAAAGUUUGAGACAAGGCUAGAGAAGAAGAGGAAAGAAGGAGAAGAGAAGAGAACUUGAAACAAUUACACUAAAUCAACUCAUCAAGGUCAAACACCUCGUUCCGAACGACUGCAACACGGACUUGACUAUCCGUCAGUCCCAUUUCAUGGAACUCUGGGUUAAUAUGGUGUUGUCUAUCAUAUCUGAUCUUCGGUCGUCAUGACCAUCUGUACGGUCUUCCUGACCAUCUGUCCGGUUUUCCUGACUGCAUGUUCGGUCUUCAUGACUGCCUGUUCGGUCCUUUGGACCGCUUGUAUUUUAUUGCUUUUGGAUGCACUAGGUGAUCCAGCUCAAGAAAGGACAUUGUGGCGUCAGCCUCACUUCGAUUUUGUCAAGCCAACAUCCGUGCCUCAUUGCAAGGUUUCCAUCUACCAGAGUUUAGAGUUGGCCUGUGUGCACCAUUUUGUAACUCGCUCAUGUAUUUUGAUCGACUGUCACUGGCAUUAUUUUGUUUUCGAUGGGAGUGACUCAUCUCUUGUAAUUGUCUUUUGGACAAACUUGCGAUGGCUUGAUGUACUUAUGCAUGUAUCUACUUAUACAUAUAGUAAUGUCCCCUGUCUCAUGUGAAUCCACAGCUCAUUGGACAUUUAAUCUACUUAUGUUAUA